rnacentral:rRNA from 1 species
UGGAUUUUUAUAUUUUUUUUUAUGUUAUUUUUUGUAAAAUAUUUUGAUUUGUUUAUUUUUUUUUUUUGGUAUCAAAAAUUUGUUUUUUGAACUGGAUUAGUACCCAGGUAAUCAAAAUUUAUUAAUUCGGGAGUAAAGUUUUGUUUAAACCGAAAAAAUAUUGACUGACUUUAGAUUUUUCUUUGGAAUAUGUGAUUUUGUUGGAGAGCCCUCUUUUUUGGUAAAUUUUGUUGGCACAUGUAUGAUUGUUUAGUUUUUAUUUUAUUUUGUAAUGCUUUUUUUGUUUUGGCAUUUAAAACAGAUAUAUAUUUGGUUUAUAAAUUUAUUUUUCAUGUGUUACUAUUAUAAAUUUUUUUUGGAUUAAUUUUUUAUUUUUUUUU